rnacentral:rRNA from 1 species
AAGGUAGCGAAAUUCCUUGUCGGGUAAGUUCCGACCUGCACGAAUGGUGUAACGAUCUGGGCACUGUCUCAACCGUGAGCUCGGUGAAAUUGUAGUAUCGGUGAAGAUGCCGAUUACCCGCGAUGGGACGAAAAGACCCCGUGAACCUUUUACUAUAGCUUUACAUUGCAUUUGGGUAAUUAAUGUGUAGGAUAGGCCGGAGGCUACGAAGCGGGCACGCCAGUGUUUGUGGAGCCGACGUUGAAAUACGGCCCUUUGAUUAUUUGAAUUCUAACUCCCGGUAUGGGAGGACACUGUAUGGUGGGUAGUUUGACUGGGGUGGUCGCCUCAAAAGUGUAACGGAGGCUUCUAAAGGUACCCUCAGGCCGAUUGGUAACCGGUCGUAGAGUGUAAUGGCAUAAGGGUGCUUGACUGGGAGACAAACAAGUCGAUCAGGUAGGAAACUAGAGCAUAGUGAUCCGGUGGUUCCGCAUGGAAGGGCCAUCGCUCAAAGGAUAAAAGGUACUCCGGGGAUAACAGGCUGAUCGCUCCCAAGAGCUCAUA